GGAAAGAGGAAAAAAAACACUAGUGCGCUGGGUCUCCAGGGGAGCGCAAGUCCACUGGUAGGCAGCAUGCCGACUGCGUUCGGGUCAAUCAGGCCUGCUGAGCAGGAAGUGCUGCACAUCUCAGAGGCCUCCUGUUCCUGUGGUAUCAGCACAGGUGGAGAGUACCCAGGGCCACCCCAGUGACGGAGAAGACUGCCAUCAGUUCCUCCAGGAUUAUCUCCUCCACCUGCAUCACAAACCAGCAGACUGGUGACCCAUCUGGUGUACCCCAACCCUCAUCCCACAGCCCUGAAUUGGAUAAGAGGAAGAAAACGGAUGGAUCGAAAAAAUAAAAUCAGACCCUGACUAAAAC